CAGUCAGGCUCCUGGCUAAUGUCCAGCUAAGAGCUGGAAUUUAGCCAAAGGGUGACUGUAA
ensembl:miRNA